rnacentral:lncRNA from 1 species
CCGAUCGCGGCUCACUGAAACCUCUGCCUCCCAGGUUCAAGCGAUUCUCCUGCCUCAGCCUCCCAAAUAGCUGAGAUUACAGGCAUGCGCCACCAUGCCCGGCUAAUUUUGUAUUUUUAGUAGAGAUGGGGUUUCUCCCUGUUGGCCAGGCUGGUAUCGAACUCCUGACCUCAAGUAAUCCGCCUGCUUCGGUCUCCCAAAGUGCUGGGAUUACAGGCGUGAGCCACCACGCCCAGCCUUAGGUGAUAGUUUUCAACUGGAUGGCUACAACUGUGGAUUUUAGACUUGGAACUGAUUUUAGCUGCAGCAUCUCCCAAACUUUUUUGACAAUAAAAAUCACCAGGGAGGUUCUUCAUAAAAAUAAAAAUUCCUGCUUCCUGUCCCUGACCCACAGCAUCAGAAUCUCCAGUAAAGGGGCCUGCGAAACUAUUUUUGAACAAGAACAACAGGUGAUUCUCAUCACCAGGGUUUGGGCAGCUGUCUCAGAUCCUUGCUUUUCCAAACAUUAACAUUCAUGAGAAACACCUGGGGCUCUUGAGCAACUACAGAUUCUGAUUCAGAAGGUCUGGGUGGGCUGAGAUCCUGCAUUGCUAAGAAGUCCCAGGUGACAUCGAUGUGGCUGGUCUGUGAACCACCUUUGAAGGAGCAAGGCUAGAAAAAACACCCGUCUCGUUUUGCAGGUGGCAGCAGCAAGCACCCCCUGUUCUGUGUUGAAUACACCCCUUACUGCUCCGUCUUUGCUUUCUCCCCUGUCCUGCAGCCCAAUACCAAUUACUGCUGCCUCCUCCUGCCACUAGUGCCACCUGCCUCCCCAGUGGCCCAGGAACCUCCUGACUGUCCUCUCCCUCUGGUUACCGUUCCCUCCUUCACAAGCACCGCUUCCACCUCCCCGGACCCCGUGCCCGAGUCCCCCGCCGUGCUGUGCUACUUCCCCAUCUCCUGCCCCACUCCGGCUGAGACCCCUGUGCUGUGCCUUCAGGGCCCCAGAAGGCCCAGUAGGAUUUACCUCAUGUGGUAAGUCACUCUUGCAAGGCACACAGCACAGCGCAGUCGGGGAGAGGGGACUUCGGGCUUCCGGAAGGCAGGUGGACAGGAGAGGGGCCAGAGGCCACACCAAGAACAAUACCAGGCGGCGUGGUGUUCGGGGGAGCAGGAAGAUGGGACAGCGUGGCCACUGCACUGGGGCUGCACCUUCUAGCGCCAAAGGAGCGAGCGACCAAUAAAAUCCCAUCCUCUCUGGAGACUCAUUUGAUUUCUUACCUCCUGUAGCUGGCACGCUGUGCAAUGUCACCCCCAGAAACCAAACAGGCUCUCCUAAUGCGUCUGAUCAUACCCUUGGCUAUGUGAAUGUGCACACGCCGAGGCCGCCCUGAGCGGUGGCACCGGGGGCAGGCCGUUCUGAAGGCACACACUGGAACCAAAACCCAUUCAGAACCACUCGGAGGAGGGACAAAUGAAAAGGCUCAGCCGAUGUUUACAUUCCCUUUCCUGCCUACUUAUUAGGCAUCACAUUUCCUAAAAUCAAAAAUCCCACCCCUGAGUUCCAAAAUAAAACAUAUUUAUGGUACAUAAUUAAGCUUUAAUUAAGAUCUCCUCUGGGUACAUGAGACAACACACAUUUCUCGCACACUCAAAUAGGCAAAUAGACGCGACCUAUUAUUUGUGACUGCACAGAAAGCUGCCUAUUACCCCAAGGCAACAUUGGCUCCUGCGAUUAAGCUGUAAUUCUUCCCAGGAUCCAAAGAAAGCACACUUUUUUUUUCAAAGAGUUGUCUCUCCAUUGGGAUCUUGGCACCUCCUAGGCACCAGAGAUCCCAGUCAAAGUAAUGUGGGGCGGGAUAAGGGUUCCGGAACUGUAUUUCCCUUUUAUGCUUCCUUUUUGACUUUGUCUAUAAAGAACUAUCUGUGGAUGACAAGUGUUGGGAAGAGCCGAACGUGAACAGCUGAAUGGACUUGGUUCUCACUUGUCAGGGUCUUGUACAAAUAUAAGAUUUCUACCUUUUUUUUCCCUUUCCUGGUCAAAUUAAGAAGUCUUCAGUCGACAAUCACAGUUUCCCAACAUUGUCAAGAGAACAGAGGCAGAUGCCUU